CUCACUUUCCCUUUCAAUCGGGCUCGUUCUCUGAGAUGUGCUGAAGAGGCCAAAUGUGACUCCAUUUUCAGCGAUUUCGGUCCCAACAUUUGGGGGCUCAUCUGAGAUAGUCGCCCCUGAGACCCCACCUUGCACGGAGUGCUCCACACUGGUGUGGCCUCAACUGCGAGCUGUAUAUGAAAAGGACCCCCCCGCCUGAGCCUCACGGAUAUCGGCCUAGAGACUGGGUGUACAUCAAACGCCACUGAAAAGAAACCCUUUAGCUGAGGUGGAAAGGACCAUA